UAAGUCCCCCGCAUGAUAAAGGCUAGCGACCAGUCAUGGCCCCGAGUCAUGCGUCGGCCCGUCGUAAGGCGGGCGGCGAAGCGUUGACAGGGGUACUGGCAGGCCGGGCUAUUGAGCUCCAGAAAAAUGGGGUCAGACCG
rfam:Delta proteobacterium MLMS-1 ctg734, whole genome shotgun sequence.